rnacentral:ribozyme from 13 species
UUUUUUUUUUUUUUUUUUUUUUUUUUUUUUUUUUUUUUCCUU